UACCAGCACCCCGAGUGGUCGGGACGUUUAUUGGGCCUAAAGCAUCCGUAGCCGGUUCUACAAGUCUUCCGUUAAAUCCAACUGCUUAACAGGUGGGCUGCGGAAGAUACUAUAGAGCUAGGAGGCGGGAGAGGCAAGCGGUACUCGAUGGGUAGGGGUAAAAUCCGUUGAUCCAUUGAAGACCACCAGUGGCGAAGGCGGCUUGCCAGAACGCGCUCGACGGUGAGGGAUGAAAGCUGGGGGGAG
rnacentral:rRNA from 1 species